AAGUCGUAACAAGGUCUCCGUUGGUGAACCAGCGGAGGGAUCAUUACCGAGUUUACAACUCCCAAACCCCUGUGCACUAUAUUGUAGGCAUGAAGAAAGAGAAAUACGUAGUAAUAUGUGUAUCUCAAGUAUUUGUGUCUACGAUUUUUUAUACACUCGUAACUUAUAAAGAAUGUUCAAGUAGACUUAUAAAGUCGAAAUUAUAAAACAACUUUCAACAACGGAUCUCUUGGUUCUC
rnacentral:misc_RNA from 1 species